UGAGGAAUAUUGCGCAAUGGGGGCAACCCUGACGCAGCGACGCCGCGUGGAUGAUGAAGGCCUUCGGGUCGUAAAAUCCUGUCAGAUGGAAAGAACGGCCUUUGUGCUAAUAUCACAGAGGAAUGACGGUACCAUCAAAGGAAGCACCGGCUAACUCCGUGCCAGCAGCCGCGGUAAUACGGAGGGUGCAAGCGUUGUUCGGAAUUACUGGGCGUAAAGCGCGCGCAGGUGGUUUGCUCAGUCAGAUGUGAAAGCCCUCGGCUCAACCGAGGACGUGCAUAUGAUACUGGCAGACUGGAGUACUGGAGGGGGUAGUGGAAUUCCCGGUGUAGAGGUGAAAUUCGUAGAUAUCGGGAGGAAUACCGGUGGCGAAGGCGACUACCUGGCCAGAUACUGACAC
rnacentral:rRNA from 1 species